GUCUUAUUGGGGAUGAAUCAUCUCUUCAAGUUUCAACUAAUAAUUCAUCAUGCUUCGAGAAAAAUAAGAUUGCACUAAAAUUGGAGGUGCUUUGUGAUAGUCAAGGCAAUAAUACGUGUCCAGAAGGAGGAGUUGGUGUUUAUAACCCAGGAUUUUGGGGAAUGAACAUACAAAAGCUCAAAUGGGUCGCAAACGUUGGCCACGACUAACAUUAUUGCUGUAGCUUCAGACGUUUCAAAUUGGACAAGAUGGGGACUUCUCUGGAAGCCAAAGAAACAGAUCCAAAAGCAAGACUUCAAUUGACAACUUCGCAAAAGGGGGUCAUAUGGAUCGAUCCAUGCCCACAGACACAGGGACAUGGAUUUAGAAAAGAUCUUGCUAGAAUGCUUGCAGAUAUGAAACCACGAUUCAUGAGAUUUCCAGGUGGGUGUUUUGUUGAAGGUGAUUAUAUGAAAAAUGCGUUACGGUGGAAAGAAACAGUUGGACCAUGGGCGGAGAGGCCUGGGCAUUAUGGUGAUGUAUGGAAGUAUUAGACUGAUGAUGGAAUGGGUUAUUUUGAGUUUCUUCAACUAACUGAAGACCUUGGUACAUUGCCAAUCUGGGUAUUUAACAUGGGUAAUCACCUUUACUGUUUAUGAUCCUCUUAUUAGCCUUUAUUGUUACAUUUCUUUUUCUAUUUUUUUCUUUUUUGAUAGGAAUCGCCCAUAGCGACGAUCUCCAACCUUUUGUACAAGUAAGUCUGCAAGUUUUGUUGUUUGAUUUGACGAAAUAUGGAAUGCACAAAUUCCUUGAUUCAUACUGGAGCAAUUAUCUCAUUCAA